rnacentral:rRNA from 1 species
UACGUAGGGGGCAAGCGUUGUCCGGAAUCAUUGGGCGUAAAGAGCGCGUAGGCGGCCCUGUAAGUCCGCUGUGAAAGUCAAGGGCUCAACCCUUGGAUGCCGGUGGAUACUGCAGGGCUAGAGUCCGGAAGAGGCGAGUGGAAUUCCCGGUGUAGCGGUGAAAUGCGUAGAGAUCGGGAGGAAUACCAGUGGCGAAGGCGGCCUUCUGGACUGACACUGACGCUGAGGCGCGAAAGCCAGGGGAGCAAACGGG